rnacentral:rRNA from 1 species
UACGUAGGGUGCGAGCGUUAAUCGGAAUUACUGGGCGUAAAGCGUGCGCAGGCGGUUUUGUAAGCCAGAUGUGAAAGCUCCGGGCUUAACCUGGGAAUGGCAUUUGGGACUGCAAGGCUGGAGUUUGGCAGAGGAGACUGGAAUUCCUGGUGUAGCAGUGAAAUGCGUAGAUAUCAGGAGGAGUACCGAUGGCGAAGGCAGGUCUCUGGGCUAUAACUGACGCUCAUGCACGAAAGCGUGGGGAGCAAACAGG